GAUGAACGCUGGCGGCGUGCCUAAUACAUGCAAGUCGAGCGAACAGACGAGGAGCUUGCUCCCCUGACGUUAGCGGCUGACGGGUGAGUAACACGUGGAUAACCUACCUAUAUGACUGGGAUAACUUCGGGAAACCGGAGCUAAUACCGGAUCAUAUAUUGAACCGCAUGGUUCAAUAGUGAAAGACGGUUUUGCUGUCACUUAUAGAUGGAUCCGCGCCGCAUUAGCUAGUUGGUAAGGUAACGGCUUACCAAGGCGACGAUGCGUAGCCGACCUGAGAGGGUGAUCGGCCACACUGGAACUGAGACACGGUCCAGACUCCUACGGGAGGCAGCAGUAGGGAAUCUUCCGCAAUGGGCGAAAGCCUGACGGAGCAACGCCGCGUGAGUGAUGAAGGUCUUCGGAUCGUAAAACUCUGUUAUUAGGGAAGAACAAAUGUGUAAUUAACUAUGCACGUCUUGACGGUACCUAAUCAGAAAGCAACGGCUAACUACGUG
rnacentral:rRNA from 1 species